GAUGAACGCUAGCGGGAGGCCUAACACAUGCAAGCCGAGCGGUAUUGUUUCUUCGGAAAUGAGAGAGCGGCGUACGGGUGCGUAACACGUGUGCAACCUGCCUUUAUCUGGGGGAUAGCCUUUCGAAAGGAAGAUUAAUACUCCAUAAUAUAUUGAACGGCAUCGUUUAAUAUUGAAAGCUCCGGCGGAUAGAGAUGGGCACACGCAAGAUUAGCUAGUUGGUGAGGUAACGGCUCACCAAGGCGAUGAUCUUUAGGGGGCCUGAGAGGGUGAUCCCCCACACUGGUACUGAGACACGGACCAGACUCCUACGGGAGGCAGCAGUGAGGAAUAUUGGUCAAUGGGUGCAAGCCUGAACCAGCCAUCCCGCGUGAAGGACGACUGCCCUAUGGGUUGUAAACUUCUUUUGUAUAGGGAUAAACCUACCCUCGAGAGGGUAGCUGAAGGUACUAUACGAAUAAGCACCGGCUAACUCCGUG
rnacentral:rRNA from 1 species